rnacentral:tRNA from 1 species
GGAGACAUGGCUCAGCGGUUAAAAGCACUGGCCACUCUUCCAGAGGUCCUAGGUUGGAUUCCCAGUAUCCCUA